UGUACCCGUGUUUGGUCUCUACAAGUUAUAUAGAGGAAACGUAAUCCCAGAAGAUGUAUAUAUUGUCAAGCGGCAUACAGUCAUAACCCGGACCCAGUGCGCAUUAAUUUGUUUUAAUACACCAACCUCGUGCCGAUCAUUCGCCUACCACUCUAUAAAUAAAGAGUGCUGUGAGCUAUCCCAGAGUUUCAUACCAAUACACAAACCAACAACGGGCGUUGGCUCGGAAUACUGGAGAGUUUGUUCACGGAGAGAUUCGUGUAUAGAAGAUGAAAUAGAUGGAAGGUGUUUUUGUCUAAAGAAAAAACUACGAAAAGUGAACAAUGCUAAAACUUACUGCGAAUCACGGGGCGGUAAUCUAGCCAUAUUAAACACCACCAAUUCAUUUGAACGUGUUGAAAGCCUAUUGUUAGAAGAGGGAAAAGAUCUUACAAAUGUAGCAAUUGGUGCCAAUGAUGACGCUGAAGAGGGCAUUUUUCAAUGGAAUGAUGGCACACCAGUAAAUACUUUUGGUAAAUUGGAAAUAAAACUAAAUGGCCCUGGUGAUAUAGAGAACUGUCUAUCAGUAAAGUUGAGGAAACCUGAUUUCAUAUAUGAUGAUAUAAAUUGUGAUAUUGAUCUGUUUCCUUUUAUUUGUGAAAUGAAAAUGUAACCGACUGAUCUACAAUUUCCAGCUAAAAAAUAUUAAAGUUAACCAAUAAUGUUAACGGAGAGGGGUUGUACAUAGGCUAAAUCUGUCCCCCCAUUCCCAAUUAGAUAUCCUGAAUAAAAAUAUUGUUUAGAAAACUUUAAAUUUAUCAAUAUAUAAUACUUACAUCAAAAUAAAGAGUUGAUAUAUUUCUAUCGAUUUCUGAUGGCAUAUGUUCCCUCCGAUUUUACAGAUAUUUCUAUAUUAAAUGAUUUAAUUCCGUUUUGUUUUAAUGUCGAUUGUUUAUAAGGGCAUUAUGGAUGAUUAGAUAACGAUAAUAGUUAAAAACUAGAUAAUGUAAAGGGAACAUGCUGACAAUUUCAGUCAAAUUGCUCCACUCUGAACCGAGAUAUUAGCGGCUGAAUGUUAGGCCUACCCUUGAUUAGUAUUGCUAAACUCGGUACGAUAAAAAAACCCAAACAUAGUCUCGAUUAUCCAUUUUUGCAUUUAUUCAUCAAUGAGCGUUGAGUAGCAGAUCGAAUUCAAACCCAGUGAAAAUCGAAUACAUAAGAUGGCAUCGAGGGUUAAUUAUGAUCCGGUACGUUGGUACACACAAACUAUAAACAAAGUGUUUUAACUAUUUCUGGAAUAAUAUCACCUUUUUCAGCGCGUUUGCCUGCCUUUAGUAUAGACAUUGCUAUCUGUAUUUCUGAAACUGUAAUUUCAUUAUCAAGGUAGGGGACGCCAUUAUGAUAUAGUAUAUAAAUAUAGGUUUUUUUUUUCAUUUAUAAAUGAAGUGCCAUGAGAUUGAAAAACAUUCUUAAAAUUUAUGUUCAUUGAAAUCAGACAGAUUCAGCUGGGAGGAAUGCUGUGGUGCAUCUAUACCAUUUUUUUUAUAAAGUUGCAUGUUUCUCCAGAAUCCUAUAGGGCUGUAGCAUUUUUAUAUAACUUUAGACCAGACCUGUAUCUGUACAAUAUGGUAGCAUGCUUUUUUUAAAUAGGGGUAUAUUUAUAUAAGCUCGGCUGUGGUCAGUUUCUGCUUCAAUAAAAUAUUUGCAUUCUUUAUAAAUUCAUU